UCAGAGCUAUCUCCUGGGUCCAGAUCCCUGAGUGCGAAAGGUCCUUGUAACUAGGUGAGUCCAGAUAAAGGUCACUCCACUGUGAACAUGGCCUGAAAAGCAGACUUUCCGAGGGUGCACCCAUGUCCACUGCAAGAGAGGCACCAGGAGGCUCCUGGCUGGAGCAGGGACACUGGGAUUUCACUCCUGCGUUGAUCUCUCAGGACUUGGAUGUUUUCAGCAGUGAGAAGCUGCUCUGAGGCAUGCAGAGGGGUGAUUUGGGAUACACAUAAUGAAUGCACUCACCACGGGGAAUUUCUACCUGUACGUGAUCUAUCUCAGCUCAAAUCUCACAUUGCUUAAGAAGACGGUCUUGCAUGAUGGCGUGGUCACGCCCAGGACGGGCACUGACCUUUCUAGACAGGCUCACGCCUACUCGAACCACUUCCUGGCCAGCGAUGCUGCCCUCACUGGCUCCGAGUCAGUGAUCACACUUUCCGACCACAUCUAAUCUCAUCUGUAAGCCGAGCACUGGCGCCAGGGUCACAAGAGGACAAGGUCACCUCCGGACAAGGACACCGAAUCUUGAGGGGCACACAGCAUUCAGACCAUUUGAUGUUUUCACUGCCUGGGGCUCUGGUGGAGAGUUGGGAAGGGCAGCAGGGGAUCGAACUCACGACUGCCUACUUGCAAGGCAAGUGCUUAUGCCGCUGAGCUAAAUCCCCAGCCCCAGCAUCCUGUAUUGUAACAGCCGCUCCAUCCCAUGCUGGGCUAUUCACCUCCACUAGAAAUUCCAUUUGACCCAGCUGUUCCCCCCAGGUACCUUUCAGAAAGAGCUAACGCUGUCAUACUAGGUGACCCAUGCAUGCCCGUGUCCAUAGCACUUUAAUUCGCAACAGCUAAAUCUUGGAAGUAGCCUGAAUGCCCAUCAGCAGAUCAAUGAACAAAGAAAAGGUGGUAUACAGAAAACUACCCUGUCAUAAAGAAGGGUGCGCUGGAGUCAUUUUCGGGAAGACAGAUGCCCCUGGAGACUGUAACAUCCAGUGAAUAAAUGAGACACACAACUUAAACGACACAUGGUUCCGCUUAUAUGAGAACCCAGAGUAUAAAUAAAGAGCAGAAUAAAAGAUGACAGUAGGAGGUAGGAAGAUGGUUCUCAAGUGUUAGGGGGAGGGAGAGACAGGUGGGGAUGGAGAUGUGCUGUGCACGCGAACUGCUCCACACAGGAAUGGAAGCCGCACACCUGCAGACGUAGAUGGCAAAAUGGACUGUUGCAGGAAGCAGGGUGGGCAGAGGGUGGUUGCCUGUGUGGGGUUGGAGCGGUGGGAAGAAGUGGAUCGAUCAUA